UCAAAUUUGGCUCCAUCAAUUAUGACUUUUAAAUUUUGAAAUAAGGUUUCAAAAUUUAAGCCUAAAUUUAUGCUCUCUCUCACCACCUCAAUCCCUUUUGCAGGAGAUAGAGAGAUAAACAAAAAGGGAUAACACACAAGAGUGAGAUCGAGAGAGAAAUAUGAGGGUGGCAGCGGAGGUGCUACGGCGGCGCCAACCAUACCCCGGCGUGAUGAAGACAGAUGGAACAGGCGAGUGACGGUGGUAAUAAUUCAGUUACAGCCUUCCAUAAGGCGGUGGUCUACAAGAACCACAUAAAUAUCGUCGACGGUUCCAAUGUUAAAACGAGGAGGAAGACGAUGACAGAAAAUCUUAGCCGCUUCUUCCGGCGAUGGCGGUUAGGGUUUCGGCGAAGACUCCGACGAGUCCUCCUUCAAUUGUAUGUUCCAUCGGUUGUUAGAUUGGUCCGCGUACUGACGAUUCUGGCCGAUACUGGUUGCUACAUGUUCCUGACAAUGGUUCCGCCACAUCUGAUGCACUCUGGUGUAGGGGACUAGGGUUCCAACGGUGGUUAGAGGCUGAACCAACGGUGGCCACAAUGAUCAUCGCAAGUAUCAUCAUCAUCUUCAAGACUUACGAUUUACUCCUCAUUGUUCGUAAGCUAAUUUAGCAUUUUGGGGCAUAAUGUAAAUAAAAAGUUAUAUUAUAAUAUUCUGAAUUCGUUAUGUAUUUUGUUUUGAUUCGAAUCCCCUCCACUGGUAGUUUUUCUAGAAAACAUUAAAGUAAUAAUUUUUUGGAUCCCUCAGGUAAUUUUUUAUUCUCUCUAAUUGAAAAUUUUCAAGAUUUCGACCUUUAAUGAUUUUAACUAAUUGUACUUAUGUCUUUGAAAGUUGCUGCCACCGACAGAUGAUGAAAUCUGAUUCCUGGUGCUCGGUUUCUAUUCAGGUAAUAAAGUCAAAUUUGAAAAUUUUGAGAUGUUUAAUAACUGAUUCAAGAUUAUCAAAGUAAGAGUAUGGUGGUUGGGUAUUGUUUUAAAGCCUUUGAGUCUUCGAUUACUUCUCGUUUCAUGACCCAUGUUGGCGUUGGAUUCUACUUCCCAACUACAACCUCCCUUUGGCAGAACUGCUAGGUAUUUUUAGUGUAAUAAAUUAGUCUGAUUUGGGCUUCACUUGACUUCCACGCCAUGUUUUAGUUUGAUAUGCUCUGCUAAUAUGAUAUAUGAGUUCUAUUUUUUUAUUUGUUUAAUUGAAGGUUAUACAUGGAUUACCAUUGACCCUAUGCACAAUGUGUUUGGAUUACAAGAAUUAGAAGCUAAAUGGUUAGUCUUUGUCUAGUUUAUGGUUAGACACAAUGUUGCUCGAAACAAAGGGCUCUUGGACUACAGCUAAAAAGGCUUAUUCAAGCAUUCUAGAGGAUAAAUUAUCCAAUUCCAAUUAUACAUCACCUUUUUUUACUAAUCAGUUUGUGUUUAAUACAUAUUUUAAUUUGUUAGAGUAUAUGGUCAACGAGGUCAAUAUAGAUGAAUGCAAAGCUCUAUAAAUGAAUGCUUAACUCUACAGGGAUUGUGGGACAUCAAUGGCUGGUCUUUGAAGGCUUUCGGCUAUGAUUUCGACCAAGGUGACUACCACAGGUAACAACUCCUUCAAUAUUCUAUGUUCCUGGAGAAACUUCAAAAUAUGGUGUUAUGAAUUUGAUAAUCGACAGUUUUGUCCAUGGGAGAUUGACCUAUGAAUAUCUGAAACCCAACCCGGUUUUGAGAAGUCUGUUACAAUACAUAGCCUGUCCAUAAGGAAAGUUGUAAGUCUUACUUUUUUUGACUGAAUACAAACUUCUUGAUUUUUGUCAAAUAUCAUUUAUAUUUAUAUCACAGAUUUUCUUGAAUGCAAACAAGGCACAUGUGGCUGAAGUUCUUUAUCGACUUGGACUGUUGGAUUGCUUUAAUGAUGGUAAUGAUAGUAGAUGUGGUGUUAUACUACUCGGGAGUCCUAUUAUUUGAAACCCUUUGAAAAUGUGUUCCAACAGCCUUUUAAGAUGGCAAAGAUUAACCUUCGUAAAAGCUUGCUGACAUCAGCAACAUGCCACAAGGAUUUACAGGUUUAAACCAAGGUCACAAGUUUGGGCCAAGUCCCAAUGCUUUAAAAAGGCAUAUUGAGAGUUGGGGUAUUCGGAUUUGGAGAGAUGGAGGAUGGUUGGUUGAAUUUCUUUCUUCAUUUGCUGAGCAGACUUCACAGAAUAUGGGAGGUAAGCAAGUACAGCUUAUUAUGUUGCCUCUGUGUUUGCAAGCAUUUCUUCACUUAAUAUCGAAGAUAACCAAAGUGAUGGUAAUAUGAGCAUGAACUUGAGGAAGCGUGGGAAGGAGAAAAUUAUAAAUAAGACAAAGCUCUUAAUGCUGAUCGGACCUACCUUAAGUUCAAGAUAUGGGUAGAUUUAUUUAUAUUUGUGUUAGUGACUCUUAUAUUAGUAUUGUCUAUUAUAAUGUAUAUUUAUAUUUGUGUUU